UCCGUAGGGUGAACCUGCGGAGGGAUCAUUACUGAGUUUACGCUCUAUAACCCUUUGUGAACAUACCUAUAACUGUUGCUUCGGCGGGUAGGGUCUCCGCGACCCUCCCGGCCUCCCGCCUCCGGGCGGGUCGGCGCCCGCCGGAGGAUAACCAAACUCUGAUUUAACGACGUUUCUUCUGAGUGGUACAAGCAAAUAAUCAAAACUUUUAACAACGGAUCUCUUGGUUCUGGCAUCGAUGAAGAACGCAGCGAAAUGCGAUAAGUAAUGUGAAUUGCAGAAUUCAGUGAAUCAUCGAAUCUUUGAACGCACAUUGCGCCCGCCAGCAUUCUGGCGGGCAUGCCUGUUCGAGCGUCAUUUCAACCCUCAAGCUCUGCUUGGUGUUGGGGCCCUACAGCUGAUGUAGGCCCUCAAAGGUAGUGGCGGACCCUCCCGGAGCCUCCUUUGCGUAGUAACUUUACGUCUCGCACUGGGAUCCGGAGGGACUCUUGCCGUAAAACCCCCCAAUUUUCCAAAGGUUGACCUCGGAUCAGGUAGGAAUACCCGCUGAACUUAAGCAUAUCAAUAAGCGGAGGAA
rnacentral:rRNA from 1 species